rnacentral:rRNA from 1 species
GAUGAACGCUGGCGGUAUGCUUAACACAUGCAAGUCGAACGGACUCUUCGGAGUUAGUGGCGGACGGGUGAGUAACGCGUGAGAAUCUGGCUUUGGGUUCGGGACACCCACUGGAAACGGUGGCUAAUACCGGAUGUGCCGAGAGGUAAAGGAGAAAUUGCCUGAAGAUGAGCUCGCGUCUGAUUAGCUAGUUGGUGAGGUAAAGGCUCACCAAGGCAGCGAUCAGUAGCUGGUCUGAGAGGAUGACCAGCCACACUGGGACUGAGACACGGCCCAGACUCCUACGGGAGGCAGCAGUGGGGAAUUUUCCGCAAUGGGCGAAAGCCUGACGGAGCAAUACCGCGUGAGGGAAGAAGGCUCUUGGGUUGUAAACCUCUUUUCUUAGGGAAGAACAAAAUGACGGUACCUAAGGAAUCAGCAUCGGCUAACUCCGUG